AUUGAACGCUGGCGGCAGGCCUAACACAUGCAAGUCGAGCGGAUGAAGGGAGCUUGCUCGUGGAUUCAGCGGCGGACGGGUGAGUAAUGCCUAGGAAUCUGCCUGGUAGUGGGGGAUAACGUCCGGAAACGGGCGCUAAUACCGCAUACAUCCUGAGGGAGAAAGUUGGGGAUCUUCGGACCUCACGCUAUCAGAUGAGCCUAGGUCGGAUUAGCUAGUUGGUGGGGUAAAGGCCUACCAAGGCGACGAUCCGUAACUGGUCUGAGAGGAUGAUCAGUCACACUGGAACUGAGACACGGUCCAGACUCCUACGGGAGGCAGCAGUGGGGAAUAUUGGACAAUGGGCGAAAGCCUGAUCCAGCCAUGCCGCGUGUGUGAAGAAGGUCUUCGGAUUGUAAAGCACUUUAAGUUGGGAGGAAGGGCAGUAAGUUAAUACCUUGCUGUUUUGACGUUACCAACAGAAUAAGCACCGGCUAACUUCGUG
rnacentral:rRNA from 1 species